rnacentral:rRNA from 1 species
AGGGUUUGAUCAUGGCUCAGAGCGAACGCUGGCGGCAGGCUUAACACAUGCAAGUCGAACGCCCCGCAAGGGGAGUGGCAGACGGGUGAGUAACGCGUGGGAACAUACCCUUUCCUGCGGAAUAGCUCUGGGAAACUGGAAUUAAUACCGCAUACGCCCUACGGGGGAAAGAUUUAUCGGGGAAGGAUUGGCCCGCGUUGGAUUAGCUAGUUGGUGGGGUAAAGGCCUACCAAGGCGACGAUCCAUAGCUGGUCUGAGAGGAUGAUCAGCCACAUUGGGACUGAGACACGGCCCAAACUCCUACGGGAGGCAGCAGUGGGGAAUAUUGGACAAUGGGCGCAAGCCUGAUCCAGCCAUGCCGCGUGAGUGAUGAAGGCCUUAGGGUUGUAAAGCUCUUUCACCGAUGAAGAUAAUGACGGUAGUCGGAGAAGAAGCCCCGGCUAACUUCGUGCCAGCCGCCGCGGUAAUAC